UAUUAUUAUAAGUUUAAAAUAUAAUACUUGAGUAGUAAUAGUUAUGUUCUUGAAACUCAAAGAAUUUGGCGGUAUUUUAGUCCUUUUAGAGGAAUCUGUUCUAUAAAUGACAAUACACGAUUUAUUAAACCUUCUUUGGUUUUCAGCUUAUAUACCGUCGUCAUAAGAUUAUUCUGUAUAGGAGGAAUAUAAAAUUUCUUUGUCUUGAAUUAGAGGUUAUGUCAGAUCAAGGUGUAGUUUAUGGGAAGGAGUGAAAUGGAUUACUUUGAUUAUAAUUUUGGAUUUAUUUAGGAAUGGAGAUAAUGAAAUAGGAUUUAAUUGUAAAUUGGUUUUGAUUGAUGGAUUGAUUAGGGCUCUAGAAUGUGUACAUAUCGCCCGUCACUCUCGUUUUAUAUGAG
rnacentral:rRNA from 1 species